GACGAACGCCGGCGGCGUGCUUAACACAUGCAAGUCGAACGGUGAACCUCUUCGGAGGGGAUCAGUGGCGAACGGGUGAGUAACACGUGGGCAACCUGCCCCCGGCUCUGGGAUAACUCCAAGAAAUUGGGGCUAAUACCGGAUGUUCACCGCUUCCCGCAUGGGUGGUGGUGGAAAGGGUUUCCGGCUGGGGAUGGGCCCGCGGCCUAUCAGCUUGUUGGUGGGGUAGUGGCCUACCAAGGCGACGACGGGUAGCCGGCCUGAGAGGGUGACCGGCCACACUGGGACUGAGACACGGCCCAGACUCCUACGGGAGGCAGCAGUGGGGAAUAUUGCGCAAUGGGCGGAAGCCUGACGCAGCGACGCCGCGUGGGGGAUGACGGCCUUCAGGUUGUAAACCUCUUUCAGCAGGGACGAAGCGCAAGUGACGGUACCUGCAUAAGAAGCACCGGCCAACUACGUGCUAGCAGCCGCGGUAAUACGUAGGGUGCAAGCGUUGUCCGGAAUUAUUGGGCGUAAAGAGCUCGUAGGCGGUUCGUCGCGUCGGCUGUGAAAACCCGGGAGCUCAACUCCGGGCCUGCAGUCGAUACGGGCGGACUUGAGUUCGGCAGGGGAGACUGGAAUUCCUGGUGUAGCGGUGAAAUGCGCAGAUAUCAGGAGGAACACCGGUGGCGAAGGCGGGUCUCUGGGCCGAAACUGACGCUGAGGAGCGAAAGCGUGGGGAGCGAACAGGAUUAGAUACCCUGGUAGUCCACGCCGUAAACGUUGGGCGCUAGGUGUGGGGGCCAUUCCACGGUCUCCGUGCCGCAGCUAACGCAUUAAGCGCCCCGCCUGGGGAGUACGGCCGCAAGGCUAAAACUCAAAGGAAUUGACGGGGGCCCGCACAAGCGGCGGAGCAUGUUGCUUAAUUCGAUGCAACGCGAAGAACCUUACCUAGGCUUGACAUGCACGGAAAAGCGGCAGAGAUGUCGUGUCCUUCGGGGUCGUGCACAGGUGGUGCAUGGUUGUCGUCAGCUCGUGUCGUGAGAUGUUGGGUUAAGUCCCGCAACGAGCGCAACCCUCGUUCCAUGUUGCCAGCACGUGAUGGUGGGGACUCAUGGGAGACUGCCGGGGUCAACUCGGAGGAAGGUGGGGAUGACGUCAAAUCAUCAUGCCCCUUAUGUCUAGGGCUGCAAACAUGCUACAAUGGCCGGUACAAAGGGCUGCGAUACCGCGAGGUGGAGCGAAUCCCAAAAAGCCGGUUUCAGUUCGGAUUGGGGUCUGCAACUCGACCCCAUGAAGUUGGAGUCGCUAGUAAUCGCAGAUCAGCAACGCUGCGGUGAAUACGUUCCCGGGCCU
rnacentral:rRNA from 1 species